AAAUGCUUAAAUGAUCAAAUAAUACGACUUUGUUUCAUUAAAAAUUACAAAUGUUCAUAAACAUAUUACAAACUGUAAUCUUAAACAUAGUAAAACACUUAUGCUUAAUCCGCAAAUGGAAUGAAAUAAAUAAAUAUUAUAAUCUAUUAGUAAAAUUAGAAAAUAGUCUAAGAUUACUAUACUACAAAUAUUUGAAAGUAGCAAAUAGAAUAGACUGUUUCAAAAAAAAAAAAAACUAGAAUAGACCUAAAAUCUCAUGAGCUAUUAUCCCUUCCAUUGCGAAAAUACGCACCACCUUCACCACUGGUACCUCCAAACUUGUUUCCUCCAUUCAGAUGCACAAUCUUUCACAAUGUCAAGUUGGAUCGCUUGAAAGAUGUGCAAAUACAUGCAUGAUUAUAAAAUAUGGAAUGUUAUACGCAAGGAAAAUAGAAUAGAAAUAUAUAAUUUAUGUGAAAUGUCUUUUUGCUUAGCUUUAUUUACCUUUUCUCCUCAAAUGGAAGAAAUAAUGGCGGCGGAACAUCAGGUGUUUAAGUGGAAGAAACGGGUUGCGAAGAGUAAAAUAAUUAAUGGUGUGCGGUGAUGGUUUGAUUAUACAGACGAAGGUGAUCGUGGCGUAAUGAUCAGAGGUGAAAUUUAUAGAAUAAUGAAGGAGAAGAACCGAUGUCUUUGUGGCUUCACCUUUUCAUCACCUAAUGAUAUAUAAACAUGCGAAGAAUAAUAA
rnacentral:lncRNA from 1 species